UACGUAGGAUCCAAGCGUUUGUCCGGAUUUACUGGGUGUAAAGGGUGCGCAGGCGGACUUGUUAGUCAGAGGUGAAAUCUCACUGCUCAACAGUGAAACUGCCUUUGAUACUGCAGGUCUUGAAUCCAGAAGAGAGUUGUGGAAUUCCGAGUGUAGCAGUGAAAUGUGUAGAUAUUCGGAAGAACACCAGCGGCGAAGGCAGCAACUUGGUCUGGUAUUGACGCUCAGGCACGAAAGCAUGGGGAUCAAACAGG
rnacentral:rRNA from 1 species